GUCCUUUAGGUUUUAUUAAAGGUCUAACCUGCCCACUGAAAAAUUUAUUUGAAGGGCCGCAGUAUUUUGACUGUGCAAAGGUAGCAUAAUCAUUAGUUUUUUAAUUAAAAGCUUGUAUGAAGGGUUGGACGAAGUAAAUUCUGUCUCUGUUUAAUUAAUUAGAAUUUAAUUUUUAAGUUAAAAAGCUUAAAUUUUUGUAAAAGACGAGAAGACCCCAUAGAUCUUUAUAUAAUUUAGAGUUGAUUUAUUUAAGAAUAUUUUAAUAGUUUAUUUUGAAUUUUAUUUUAUUGGGGUAAUAAAUAGAUUUAUUUAAUUCUUUUUUUUAUUGAACAUUAAUUAAUGAAUUUUUGAUCCAAUUAUUUUGAUUAUAAGAUUAAGUUACCUUGGGGAUAACAGCGUAAUUUUUUUUGAGAGUUCUUAUCGAUAAAAGAGUUUGCGACCUCGAUGUUGGAUUAAAAAUUAUCUUAGGUGCAGAAUUUUAAGAUUUUGGUCUGUUCGACCAUUAAAUUUUUACAUGAUCUGAGUUCAGACCGGCGUAAGCCAGGUCGGUUUCUAUCUUUAUUAAGUUAAAAUAUUUUAGUACGAAAGGACCAAGUAUUUAAUAAAAAAUUUAUUUUAUUUUUUGAAUGU
rnacentral:rRNA from 1 species